ensembl:miRNA aca-mir-5437 aca-mir-5437
UCCACUUGAGUCUGUUAAUAGACUUUUCCACUUCAUCUCAGUUAAUAUUCAGAUGAAGUGGGAAAGUUUAUGAAUAGCCUCAAGUAAC